rnacentral:rRNA from 1 species
CCUACGGGGGGCGGCAGUGGGGAAUAUUGGGCAAUGGGGGAAACCCUGACCCAGCAACGCCGCGUGAAGGAAGAAGGUCUUCGGAUUGUAAACUUCUUUGACGAGGGACGAAACAAAUGACGGUACCUCGAAAACAAGCCACGGCUAACUACGUGCCAGCAGCCCCGGUC